GUUCCAGCGGGUGGUGUUAGGAUAGGCGAAGGCUCGCACCUUUUUCAGGAACGGCGUCGUGGCAGCCGCAAAUGGACAGUGGCUUCGUUCGUUGACCGGAUUCACCUUGCGUCGGACCAGAUAGUCACUGUAGACCAUGUGAGCGAAGGCCGGUCGGUCACGCACGUAAACGUAGUUCUUUUUGGCCACCGUCGUCAUCAGAAUUUCACUAUCGUUUUGAUUCGUUGCGAAUUCGACCAGAUGCUUGUCCACCAGAGUGUUGAGCGAGUUCAAGGCCUCAUCGCUCUAGACGACAGCAGGGACGGCAUGGAAUGGUUGAUUCUGUUAGAGGUGUGCGCAAAUACCCGAAGGUUAUAUUGUCGUGUUCAAAUCAUAUUGGUGUAAAUAUUUAUUCUGGCCUUCGGAAAAAGCUAGUCCAAAUAACUAACGAGUAAAGGAAACUCUACAUGUGACCUUGUCUACGGCUAGAGGCAUAAAUCAAGAAUUUUUACUAUUUGCUUCUUCGCGCUAAUCAUAGUAGGCUGUCGCAACCAUAAUUCGAUUAAUCAAAAAUUGAUCAUAUUCACACGAAAGGCGUCAAUUCCGGAGGAAGCUCACCAAGAGCACAAAUCAACACCAAUCACGACUGGCUCGGUACACCAACAUGGCAGGAGCGAUAAAUUAUUAACGACAGCGCUAGUUAACUUACGUUCUUGAUGGCGUACUCGACCGCAUUGCCACGGAUGGUGACGAACUGCUUCUCCUUGUGAAGUACGUCUUCGGCGUUGUUAAUCGGCAGCGUGAAUUUCGACAGCGUAAGGAAAGCGGUCAGAUUGGCCGUGUAGAAGGAGGUGAGCAGAGUUAUAAAUAUCCACCAAGUGGCAAAUAGGAUACGCGUCGAGUCUGAAAACCAUAUUUUCUUUUAGACGUACGGUUGCUUUUUUUCGAAAUCAUAAAUCAUAAAAAAAGAAUCUA